AUGGCAUACGGCCAUGCUCUCCAAUUUUUGUCCCUUUGAAAUCUUCUCCCAAAAAUUAUUUUCUAGUGGUAUUCCUACUAAUUCAAGGGUCCUUUACAACUUGGUGUAAUUAUUUUGAAAGAAAGAGCACUUGUUUCUUCAAGUUGACAACUUGGUCAAGUGAAGAAGAUUGUAGAAAAAGAUUUGGCGAACUUGAAACUUGAUUUUGGAGACGUGUAUGAAGCGGAAAAGGUACACCCAAAGGAUGCGAAGUUAGCAUAGAAGAUGUUCCAGCGGAGUUGGUAGGCUCCAUUUGUCCUGGAGUGCUGCCAAGUCAGAGUAUAUGUACUAUGACGCUAUGUUCGAGGUUAGAGACUUUGCAGACAGAGUCGUGGGUAUAGAGUGUCAGCUUUGUAGAUGGCUUCGCCAGUCGAUAUGUUAUUAUAUUUCAUGUCACGGGUCCCACAUGAUGAUAGACUUUACUUAUAAAAAAAAAAAAUUGGAGAGCUUGCUGUGUAUUUGUUUCUUAAUUGAUUCACAAGUUUAUAUGUGUAAUAAGAGUCAGCGGGUUCGCUCGGCUCCGAAUAUGGGGUCGGGUGCCCAUCACACCCUAGUAGGAUCGGGGUGUGACAGUUUGAGUGCUUGAACUUGUAGAGAAAUCUGCGGCC